UAUUCUUUUAGUAUUAAUUAGUACAGCUGACUUCCAAUCAGCUAGUCUUGGGAGAGCUCCAGGAAAGAAUAA
rnacentral:tRNA from 1 species